GAAACAAAGAUAAGUCAGCCUGCGCUUCUCAUGGCUCAGGCAGCUCCCUGGACAACCAAAUUUCUAAGCAUCUUUUUCUCAACAGUGGUGAUCCUGUUCAAUGUAUUUAGCAAGUAUUCUUCAGUCUGAAAGCAGAGAGAGAUUUGUUUUUCCCAACUCUGUGCUUCUGUUGAAAGGAGAUGAGUAACAAAGGCUGGAAAACACUGAAAUGUUGUCCCUAAAGAAGAGUGGAUCUAAAUAUCUGCAAAACUCUUGUAAGAACUAUAAAGUGUCCUGGUGUGUCCACUUGCCUCAACAUUAAGUUGCUAAAGGACUGCUAGAAAUAGUGAGCUCAGUCACUAAUGGCUCUACAGUCUCAUGAGAUCUGAUUUAGAGUGGUUUUGUAACGUCUUCCAAAUGCUGCUAAAGGUGCUCUCUAAUGCACAGACAAAACUCUACAUAGAGGUAAUGGUGAUCCUGAGGUGGCAUUUUUCAAUCAGGUAUAGGAUCCACAAAACAGAUGGUUUCCAGCUGUGUAAAAAAUAUGUAGUUUUAUCUCCUAUUUAUACUCCUAAUGUGUCCCAAAGAAGGCUCCAAGUCUGGCAGGAUAGGCUAACGUGGCAAAUAGCUCAUGGUAGAGAGAAUAGGAUAAAUGAGAAGGAAGGGAGGAAAAUAACUGAAAAAGAGUAGAAUUAUUUGAGAAAUAGAAGUGUGAGUAGCCUGGGAAGAAUAGAAAAAGCAAUGAAGAUCUGCAGAAACAUAGAUAUGUAAGCUUCAGAGUAAGGUCAAAAAAUCCCAUUUGUCUAAAGUGGAUAAAGUGCUUGAUGAGGGCAUUUCAUGAUAUCUCUGCAAGUUCUUGGUCUCAAAUCUCAGGAGCAGAAGGAAGGUGAUGUUGCUCACAUCUAACGUGAAUGUAGAUCUGAAGUGAAGAAGGAACGACCACUUGGCCAUGCAGACAGAUUGCUGGUUAGGCACCAGUGUAAGUGAAAAUAAAUUGUUCACCACAUAGGGAAGAGUAGAAAGUAGGAUUGCUUCAUAUGUAAAAGUCAGAGCUCAGUUCAUUGCAACUCUGCAGCUGUGGCAAAUGAUGCAGGGAUAGAAUGUGCUUGUAAAAAAAAAAAAAAAAAAAAAAUCUAUUAAUGAUUACCAAAUGUUUCAAAGCCUUCUCUCUCCUUCUCUUUCAUGAACGCUUCUUAAUUAGAUUGCUUUCAAAUAUGGUUACUAGUUAAUGAGAACCUUCAAAACAAAGCAAUGUUAAAUUAACAAAGAUU
rnacentral:lncRNA from 7 species